rnacentral:rRNA from 1 species
GAUUAAGUUAUUAAGGGCGCACGGUGGAUGCCUUGGCACUAGAAGCCGAUGAAGGACGUUACUAACGACGAUAUGCUUUGGGGAGCUGUAAGUAAGCUUUGAUCCAGAGAUUUCCGAAUGGGGAAACCCAGCAUGAGUUAUGUCAUGUUAUCGAUAUGUGAAUACAUAGCAUAUCAGAAGGCACACCCGGAGAACUGAAACAUCUUAGUACCCGGAGGAAGAGAAAGAAAAUUCGAUUCCCUUAGUAGCGGCGAGCGAAACGGGAAGAGCCCAAACCAACAAGCUUGCUUGUUGGGGUUGUAGGACACUCUAUACGGAGUUACAAAGGACGACAUUAGACGAAUCAUCUGGAAAGAUGAAUCAAAGAAGGUAAUAAUCCUGUAGUCGAAAAUGUUGUCUCUCUUGAGUGGAUCCUGAGUACGACGGAGCACGUGAAAUUCCGUCGGAAUCUGGGAGGACCAUCUCCUAAGGCUAAAUACUCUCUAGUGACCGAUAGUGAACCAGUACCGUGAGGGAAAGGUGAAAAGCACCCCGGAAGGGGAGUGAAAUAGAACCUGAAACCGUGUGCUUACAAGUAGUCAGAGCCCGUUAAUGGGUGAUGG